rnacentral:lncRNA from 10 species
CUUUGGGAGGCUGAGGCAGGCAGAUCACCUAAGGCCAGGAAUUCGACACCAGCCUGGCCAACGUGGCAAAACCCGUCUCUACUAAAAAUACAAAAAUUAGCCGGGCGUGGUGGUGUGCGCCUGGAAUCCCAGCUACCCAGGAGGCUGAGGCAGGAGAAAUGCUGGAACCCGGGAGGCAGAGGCUGCAGUGAGCUGAGAUCAUGCCACUACUGCACUCCAGCCUGGGUGACACAGCAAGACUCCCUCUAAAAAAAGAAAAAAAGAAAAGAAAAGAAAAGAAAAUGAUAUAUCCAUGAUGAAUUAAAAUGGAGUGGAACCCACUGAUGGUAUGCAGCUGAUAAGACGCUAUAGAGAAAUGAUAUCCGGACACAUGGUGAGACUUUUUCUCCUCUGUAAAUCUCAAUUCUUGUGAUUCUUUCAAAGGGAAAGCCACAGAAGGUACCAGUUAUCCACUCACUGACUUAGGUGCCUCCACUAGAAUUCUCAGCACGUUUUUGCAGAACCUGGGCAACAAGAGCGAAACCCCAUCUCAAAACCACAACAACAACAACAGGACAACAGAGAUGGACGACGGAUCGGGAAAGCCAACCAGACAGCGUGAGGCCAGGACGGAAAGAGGCACAGGGAGCUCUGCUCAGUGUCGCUACAGGGGAUCUCUCAGGCUCACAACGGGCCACUCCUCUAGGGAAGUUCUGGUCUCAUCAUGAUCCUUGUUUGGUCUCACUCCCCAUGUCCUUCUCUGUCCCUCCUCCAACUGCCAUUUAUUUAUUUAACUGAAAAAGUACCAAUCACCCACAUAGGCAUGACAUACUCAUCCAUGUACCCAUUUCUUAAAAUUGAUCAUUGUUAACAUUUGGUGUAAUUUGCUUUAUUUAUUUUUAAUGAAAUAAAUAAAACUUUACAGAAAAUGCUUUAUUUUUCUCUUUGUUCCCUCCCCAUCCUAUAUUUUUCUCCUAAAAAACCCUAUUAUCAGAAAUAUUAGUGUGUAUUCCCAGUUUCGACUUUUUAUUUUAUUACACACACACUCCCACACAUAGCUGUGACAAUGAACUUCACAUAGUAUGGUUCUGUAUUUUCUCUUUGUUUUUCAAACUUACAUAAGUAUUUUACUAUUUCUCAUGGAAAAACUCACUUUUCCCAUCCAACGUUAUGUUUCCUUAAGAUCUCUCUAUGUUGAUAUAAAGAAAUCUAGCUCAUUCUUUUUAAUGAAAAUAAAGUAUAUUUUAUGAAUGUAACUCAUGCUAACCAUGGCAAUAAAAGCUCCAUCAAGCAUGCAUUUAGU